UACGUAGGGGGCAAGCGUUGUCCGGAUUUACUGGGCGUAAAGAGCGUGUAGGCGGCCAAGCAGGUCCGUUGUGAAAACUGGAGGCUUAACCUCCAGACGUCGACGGAAACCGCGUGGCUAGAGUCCGGAAGAGGAGAGUGGAAUUCCUGGUGUAGCGGUGAAAUGCGCAGAUAUCAGGAAGAACACCAAUUGCGAAGGCAGCUCGCUGGGACGUUACUGACGCUGAGACGCGAAAGCGUGGGGAGCAAACAGG
rnacentral:rRNA from 1 species